AGCCCGAGGAUCUUCGCGGCGAGAGAGGGUUUCACUGGUGCGACAGGUCUGGAGCAAGGGAUCUCGGUUUCGUUUCGCUGGAGCCCCGAAGCUACGCAUGCGCACAAGAAUCCUGUCCCUGGGACGCCAGUUAUCUCCUGGAGGCACCUGAUGUUCUUUUAAAAACCUAGGGAAAGAGCGAAGACCUUCGUCACAUGCCAAGCAGAACUUGACUCUGACGCACUGCAGAAUAUAGUGCAUUCAUUGGGAGUCUAGCCUGACUUUCUUUUGCGUUAUCUUGAAUUUGGUCAUUUCGACUCAAUAAAGUAGACGUGAAUAACUAGGUAUACCUGAGUCUGGGGGUGGGAAUGGGCUACGGACCGGUUUGGUGUGAUGGAAAUACCCCUAAACUGGACUGUGGGGGUGGCUGCAUUAUUUACUAUUUUUUGUACAGCUGAAAGGGUGAGUGUAUACAAUAGACCUUAUUCUGUGAUGAUGUGAGCGCCUGUAUUGGAAUGGCUCCACUUCAGGCUGAGUAAAAGACCAAGAUGAAGCCUGCCUUCCC
rnacentral:lncRNA from 1 species